CACGUGGAAGGAGCUUACGAACCGCAAGAAAUUUCAGCGUAUUUUCCAGCUUUUAUGGAUUUAAGAAACACGUUAUAUUGACCUUAUUACCUUGGAUAUCGUCAGUUCUGUCAAGGUUGGUGAGUGUUUCUUAUGCCGAAUCGCGUGGCUAACAUUCGACGUCGAGGAUUCAUGACUUCAAUUUUGUCAAGACUUUUCUUCAGAAAGUAAUUGCCAACUGUGGACUUUAGGUUCAAAUUUAUUUCUGAUUGUUUUGCGGUGAAAUCCUUUUGUUGGCUGAUGCAGUGCUGCUGAUUUCAUGAGAUGGUUGAUUAAGGGUUGACCCACCUAGGAGUCGGUAUCGUUCAAAAAAAAAUAUAGAAAAGAUUAAAAGGAUUCAAGGGAAAGUGGGAAAUUGGAUGUAUAUUUACGUCUUGGAUUUCAGUGGAUUAUGAUCGCCUCCAUGAGGUGUCCAAGGCGAGUGGUUUGUUAGCAUUGAGAAGCUGCACGUGAUCAGUUGAAGCAGAAGCACACAACACAGAAGCAUCAUUUUAGGUACCGAGGUUACAAAGUUAAAAAGGUCAUGAGGGACACGUGUUGAGCUUAAUUACAGCUGAAUAGAGAUUUGUUAUUGAGAAUUCAUGAAGAAUGACCAAAAAA
rnacentral:lncRNA from 1 species